rnacentral:rRNA from 1 species
AGGAUGAACGCUAGCUACAGGCUUAACACAUGCAAGUCGAGGGCAGCAUGAAGUUGCUUGCAAACUUGAUGGCGACCGGCGCACGGGUGAGUAACGCGUAUCCAACCUUCCCCUUAGUAGGGCAUAGCCCGGCGAAAGUCGGAUUAAUACCCUAUGUUCUUCGUAGAGGACAUCUGAAAUGAAGCAAAGACUUGUCGCUAAGGGAUGGGGAUGCGUCUGAUUAGGUUGUCGGCGGGGUAACGGCCCACCGAGCCUACGAUCAGUAGGGGUUCUGAGAGGAAGGUCCCCCACAUUGGUACUGAGACACGGACCAAACUCCUACGGGAGGCAGCAGUGAGGAAUAUUGGUCAAUGGACGAGAGUCUGAACCAGCCAAGUAGCGUGCAAGGAAGACUGCCCUAUGGGUUGUAAACUGCUUUUAUGCGGGGAUAAAGUGCGGCACGUGUGCCGUUUUGUAGGUACCGCAUGAAUAAGGACCGGCUAAUUCCGUGCCAGCAGCCGC